rnacentral:snRNA from 1 species
AUCGCUUCUCGGCCUUUUGGCUAAGAUCAAGUGUAGUAUCUGUUCUUAUCAGUUUAAAAACACCAUUGCCUAAGGGUGCCUGGGUGGCUCAGUUGGUUAAGUGUCCAGCUUCA